rnacentral:rRNA from 1 species
AACGAACGCUGGCGGCAGGCUUAACACAUGCAAGUCGAACGCACCGCAAGGUGAGUGGCAGACGGGUGAGGAACACGUGGGAACAUUCCUUUCAGUUCGGAAUAACGUUGGGAAACUAACGCUAAUACCGGAUACGUCCUUCGGGAGAAAGAUUUAUCGCUGAAAGAUUGGCCCGCGUCUGAUUAGCUAGUUGGUGAGGUAACGGCUCACCAAGGCGACGAUCAGUAGCUGAUCUGAGAGGAUGAUCAGCCACAUUGGGACUGAGACACGGCCCAAACUCCUACGGGAGGCAGCAGUGGGGAAUCUUAGACAAUGGGGGCAACCCUGAUCUAGCCAUGCCGCGUGAGUGAUGAAGGCCUUAGGGUUGUAAAGCUCUUUCAGCUGGGAAGAUAAUGACGGUACCAGCAGAAGAAGCCCCGGCUAACUCCGUGCCAGCCGCCGCAGUAACA